GUGCUUGCUUUGGCAGCACAUACAUUAAAACUGGAAUAAUACAGAGAUCAGCACAGCCCCUGUACAAUAAUGACACACAAAUUUGUGAGUGUCCUAUAUUUUA